GCCGGGGUAGCUCAGUCGGUCAGAGCGCUGGAUUGUGGAUCCAGAGGUCCUGGGUUCGAGCCCCAGCCCCGGUACCA
rnacentral:tRNA from 1 species